rnacentral:lncRNA from 1 species
AGUUGAGCACAGAUGCAGGGGCUGCACUCCAGGUGGGCUCCUAUCUGCAGGACCAGCAGCAGGACAAGGUCACCAGGGUCCAGCACAGCAGCUGUGGACACCAGAAGGCACAGCAAGGAAGAUACCAGAAGCCCUAUGUCCAGGGCUCGCUUCCAGCCAAAAUCAUGGCAGUCAAGGUGAUGAGGACUCCAUAGAAGGCACAGAAGAGGAAGGAGGCUCUCCUGUCUGAGCUCCAGCUGUUCAAAGGCACUUGCAAUAUGGGAGGGCUGGGACCCUCAGUGGGAGGGUUGCCACUCCCAGUAUAUUUGUUGAUGGAUUGAGACAAGCUGAGUUAACAUCUUCACCAGACUUGGGGAGGCACGGGGAUUGGGGGUGUCCUCUAGGGGUCAAACCAUCAGCAAAUGAGAUUUGAGUCAAGCUGGAUCUCAUUCAGUGCAAUGUUCCCCAUGACAUGCCACCUCUAGGCCUUUGCUCGGGCUCUUUCCUCUGCUGGUAGCACUCCCCUCCACAGUCCAAAUCC